AAUCGCUGCUAACAUUGCCAAAAGGCUUGGAAAGCUUGAGUACGUUGUGUAAUACGGCACUAUGGGGGUGUGAGCAGCUGAAAUGGACAAUCUCACUGGAAUUGCUUCGUUUUAAGAAACUGAUACUCAGAGGACUUCCAGCAUUCGCCAUUUUCCCGACGUGGUUAAACAGGUUUGAUUCAGAUUUAGAAGUGCUAGAAGUUGGAGAGUUUCCCACGCUAAGAAUAUUGCCUUUCUGGCUUCCAAAUUUAUGGGAACUUCGAAUUCUUGGGAUCUCCAACUGCCCUAGAUUGGAGGGUCGUAUGCCUCUUUAUAUGAAUAAUUGUGAUAAGAUGGAGGAAUUGAGGAUCACAUUUUGUGGGAUGUUUGGCAAAAACGCUAUGAAUGAAAGCAAUCACGAAGAGUGGGGUAUCUCUCACAUCUCUACUAUUUAUGUCGACGCCAAACGACUCAAUCCACGAGUAACAUCAAUAGACGAACACGAGGCAGCAGGUGGAGCUGAAGUAAGGCAUGGAGUAGACAAUGAUGAGCAGGAGAGUGAUGCUCAACAUGUUGGAUUCAACAAUGAUGCUGGUGUUAAAUCAAAACAAGAUGGUAUUGGUAGUGACAUUCAUGAAUCAAUUGGUGCCCGACAGGAUAACGGAGCAGCUGAGGACGGUCGUGUUGGGGCUGGACAAACUGGACAAGGAGAACACGACCGAGCUACGAACGAUGAUCAUCUUGAAGCUAACAUUGGUAGUGACAUUGGGACUGGACGACCAUUAAAACCAGAACAUGAUAAGGCUAACAAUGAUAGUCAUGUUGGUACUGGACAAACUGUUGGAGAGAAAGUAGAUGAAGUUGGCGACGAUAGGCUAGUCGGAACCGAACGAACUUUGGGAGAAGAACAGGUUGAUCCUAACGUCGGGACUAGACACAUCGUAAGAGCAAAACAAGAUGUAAUUACUGAUGAGAGUCAUCCUGGGGCUAAACUUGGCAGAGCAAAUGAGAAUGGCGAUGCUGCGGUGGACCGUGCUGGAUCCGAACAAACUAUGGUCAUUACAGUUGAGGGGUUCUGAGGAUGUGUUUAGUAUAUAAAUACUCCUCUACCCUACCUGGGUUUUCCAAGAAAUACAAAGCACGGAGUGCAGGAGUAUUCUGCAGAGUAUCUUGUAAUCUCUUCUCGAUUGGUGUUAAUAAAGAGUUGCGAGAGCGGUACAAAAUCGAGGGCAAACUCUGAAUACAGGGGUUAAUGUUGGCUAGUGAGACGAUGGGGGAUAAGCUUCAUCGUCGAGAGGGAAACAGUCCAAAUCACCAGCUAAGGCCCCUAAAUGACCGCUAAGUGAUAAAAGAGGUAGGGAUGCAGA